rnacentral:rRNA from 1 species
AUUGAACGCUGGCGGCAUGCCUUACACAUGCAAGUCGAACGGUAACAGGUUAAGCUGACGAGUGGCGAACGGGUGAGGAAUAUAUCGGAACGUGCCCAGUCGUGGGGGAUAACGUAGCGAAAGCUACGCUAAUACCGCAUACGAUCGACGGAUGAAAGCUGGGGAUCGCAAAACCUCGCGCGAUUGGAGCGGACGAUAUCAGUUUAGGUGGUUGGUGAGGUAAAAGCUCACCAAGCCUGCGAUCUGUAGCUGGUCUGAGAGGACGACCAGCCACACUGGAACUGGGACACGAUCCAGACUCCUACGGGAGGCAGCAGUGGGGAAUUUUGGACAAUGGACGCAAGUCUGAUCCAGCAAUGCCGCGUGCAGGACGAAGGCCUUCGGGUUGUAAACUGCCUUUGUACGGAACGAAACGGUGAGCUCUAAUACAGUUUGCUAAUGACGGUACCGCAAGAAUAAGCACCGGCUAACUACGUGCCAGCCGCCGCCGUAA